ACUGGACGUAUAAUUUUAUCUGCCCCUUAGUUAUCUCUGCCGACACGCGUUGGAUGAGUUUUUCAUCUUGGCUUUCCCAGCGUGCUCCGCGAAACCUGUUUCCUACGGACAUGUUGAGGUUUUUUUCCGGUUGUCUGUCUCCUGCUCCGGUACAGCGCGUAUGUAUGCAGUCUUUACGUGCCUUACGUCGCUUUUCCAUGGAGUGGAGUGGGGUGGUAAAAGAUCGUGCAUAUAUUUUUCUCUAGGACUGUGAGACGCACAUGCGAAAGUAUACAUUGCCAGAGCCGACAGGGGCAAGUACGUCGUGAUCUCAUCCUCGUGUGGGUGCUACGUCUUGUACAACGCGAACCCGCUUAAGUCAUACAAGGCGAGUAGCAUGAAAUUUUCCGUCCUCUGAAGUAGAGAGUUCUGAAAGUACGUUGAGAGAAAAAAAAAACUUAUAUUGCGUGCUGUUACCGAUACAACGUGACUUGGCCUACGUCAGAGAAGACGAGAUGCCUGAAAUGACGUUGCAACACUGAACUAAACUGGCUUUCUUGUUUGUUUCAGGCAGUUUGUACAACCUCUCGACAUUCGUGUGGGUUUUGAACGCACAUCAAGGGUUGGCCGUGCACGUCAAAUGCCAACCUCCUGAAGGCGACCUCUUGUCCGUUGAGUCCAGAGGAGCCAGGGAACUCGUGGAGCCGCGGCCAUUGCAUCCUGGCCCUGCUUACGUCAUACAACACGAGAUGCCCGAAACAAAGGCAUGGCUGUGAGCUGCAGACUCCAGUCAGUGGUAACAACCACGUCACACUCGUUGAAGACUUGAGGUUUUUUCGCAGCGUUGAGGAUAAUGGCAGCUUACAUCGUGAGGUCGCUUACGCCAUGCAACACGACAAGCUGAAAAUUAUGUUGCGAACUAAGGACUCCGGCGAGUACAAUGAGAAAUUAUCAGAUAAUGCCCACUGAUCGAGUUUCAGACCGUACAUACAGAAGCGACGUAAUUAUAAAUUCUUGUCAUUAUGUCUGCUUUGAGGUGAUUGGUACGGCCUCUUACAUUCGCCUGUCACGGUGAUUAUGAUGUCAUCAUUAUUCGUCAUCACCGUCGUGAACCCUCUGAACCUGAAUCGAGCUUUGCAGGCGGAAGCAAGAUUUUUCUACAGGAUGCUGGGAUCCACGUCUCGCUGUUGGACGCUGCUCUGUGACGUCUCUGGCACGAGACGUCUGAAAUGAUGAGGCACCAUUGAGUACGGUGAUAUAUUAUUUCAAGGUUGAUUAAAAAUUAUAAUGACUUUGAUAGUGUUCUGUGGGAAAUUAAAAAUUAGUAUGUCUCGACGGCGAUGUAGUGUCUGAGUAAAACGUGGUCUGCGUGGAUGUGAGAGGAAUGGGAUUUUGCGAAGGUACCGAUAUCGUCGAAAUGAAUCUUUCGUGAGUUGGAAACAGAAAGGAAAAAGUUACAGAUCAUUUGAGAAGUUUUGAAGAGAAAGAUUGGAAAAUGAGAAAUUGCUGACAAACGCAGAGACGUUACGUGUCCGGUGAUAGACACGCGAACUUGUAGCAUCAGAUAAAUUUCUUCCGUCUCUCUUGUUGUAAACAUAUACGGUAGUCAUCGUGUAGCUGACAGUCGUUUAACUGGUCGAAGCGUUUCUCUUCGUGUAUGAAAACAGAAAUUUUAUUACAGAGUUUACAAAAACUGACUGGUCCAAAUUCUGAAGCAGAGGAACGUAGCCCGCGUCCUUACUUCAUUUCUCGUGAAUGAAUUUCGAAAGGAAAUGCUGUGGACCUUCAAAAUUUGGUGUUAGGUGGACCGAAUAUUGCGUAUGGAGUACGUAGAAGUCCGCACUGAUUUGGAUUAGACGUCUGCCAGGGACGCGACUGAGUAGGCGUCGUUCACGUGGUGAUGGAAUUCGAGCUGCUAGAAUGUGUAGUGCUGUAUAGAGCAGAGGUUCCUAAAGUGUGGGGCUGUUGUUUGUAUGAAAAUCUUUUUUAACGAAAUAUGGAGAAACAUUUUGAACAUCCUUCGCUUGAUCGAGGCAUUUCAGAAGUGGCAGCCAUCAAAACAAAGUAUUGUUCUACGAUGAACCUGCGUUGAACAUGAAUUUUAAACCAGUGACUUGUUUUCCAGAAUAUGGUGUUAUGUGGUAUGCUUGUAUCCUGCAGCCGUCAUGUACCGCCAGGUACUUCCAGAUGCUACUUACAUCAUCCAACAGGAUAUGAUGUGGCAGAACUGAAUUCGAGACUCGUGGGGAAAGGCAUCGGCGUCGGAUUUUAGCUUUUCACGUGGUUCCGAAACUCUGAGGAUGAUCUUGAUCGCAUUUUUACCCGUGAGGUUGUGUCCUGUCGCGUCUACACGCUCCGGGGAACCCGGAGUUCCGCAGUCGCUUCCACCCGGACGCCGCACUCUCGUCGUGUUUUAUUGACAACUUUACGUCUGUAUCCGGAAUAUUUCGUUUCUACCGUCGUUGCUGGUGAGUGAAACGAAUAAGUUUUCUUUUAAAUUAACACAUGACUAACGUCUGGGGUGCAGGGGUUAAACUUCCAAUGGUCCUUAAUUGUGAGUUUCCAAUUAAUGUUUUGCUUGUUUCCAUCCCUUGAGCAAAAUGAAUUCAGAUUCUUUCUGUUUACUCUUUUUCUUCUUUCUUUUCUUCUAUUUCUCCUCCUUCCUACCCUCAGAGGAUAGACGGGUUAGUGUAGAGUUGUAGCUGCAUGCAUUCUUAACCACUAACAACAUCAUCAACCCUGCAGUCCAGCCGCUGGUCUGCAACGGAAUAUCAGCGGAAUCCAGC